GAAAUAGGUUAUCUCCAGUAAUAGUUACAGUAACAGUAAUAGUUAGUUAAAGAUAGUUAAAGCGACUGUCUAUUCCUGAAAAACAUCGUCCACCACCAGAAGAUGGCUUUUAAAACAGAACAAGAAGUACAACCAGAGAAUAUUGAGAUGAUAGGACAUCCUGUGCAGGAAAGCAGCUGUGUGAAAACCAGGCCAUGGCCCAGCUCUGACAAACAGUCACACAACCACCCCGGAGCAGCUGACACCAUGGGAAUAAACUCGAAACCUGUCUUUGCUCAUGAUGAAG